CGGGGUGCAGCAGGCGCGAAAACUUUACAAUGCCGGCAACGGCGAUAAGGGGACCUCGAGUGCCAGGUUACAAAUCUGGCUGUCGUGAUGCCUAAAAAGCAUUGCAUAGCAAGGGCCGGGCGAGACCGGUGCCAGCCGCCGCGGUAACACCGGCGGCUCGAGUGGUAACCGUUAUUAUUGGGUCUAAAGGGUCUGUAGCCGGCCGGAUAAGUCUCUUGGGAAAUCCAGCAGCUCAACUGUUGGGCUUCCAGGAGAUACUGUUCGGCUCGAGGCCGGGAGAGGUGAGAGGUACUUCAGGGGUAGGGGUGAAAUCUUGUAAUCCUUGAAGGACCACCAGUGGCGAAGGCGUCUCACCAGAACGGACCUGACGGCAAGGGACGAAAGCUAGGGGCACGAACCGGUUUAGAUACCCGGGUAGUCCUAGCCGUAAACGAUACUCGCUAGGUGUCGGCCACGGUGCGACCGUUGUCGGUGCCGUAGGGAAGCCGUGAAGCGAGCCACCUGGGAAGUACGGCCGCAAGGCUGAAACU
rnacentral:rRNA from 1 species